rnacentral:rRNA from 1 species
UACGUAGGGUCCGAGCGUUGUCCGGAAUUAUUGGGCGUAAAGGGCGCGUAGGCGGUUUGUUGCGUCGGGAGUGAAAACCUCGGGCUUAACUCGGGGCUUGCUUUCGAUACGGGCAGACUUGAGGCAUUCAGGGGAGAACGGAAUUUCUGGUGUAGCGGUGAAAUGCGCAGAUAUCAGAAGGAACACCGGUGGCGAAGGCGGUUCUCUGGGAAUGUUCUGACGCUGAGGAGCGAAAGCCAGGGUAGCGAACGGG